rnacentral:misc_RNA from 1 species
AAGAGAUAAAACGAAUGAUAGCUUACCGGUCUUUUUUAAGCGUUGAUCUCGCUAGGAAGUUCACAAAGGUUCAUGUAGUACCGAAGCGCACACAACACUUCCAGAGGUGUUUUUCUUCAAGCGGUUUCAGUUAUAGCUCGCGGACGCAUAUUGAAGGAGGUUUACUUGUUGAUAUGGACCGGAAAAAGCAGAAAAUGGUUGCUAAAACAUGGAGACCUGUUUCUACUCAAUCAAGG